rnacentral:lncRNA from 1 species
GAUAGUUGAUUUGACUCUUGCAAUGAGGAGGGGACAAAUUACUGCAGGGAGCAGUGACUGAGAGCAUGGAAAUGACGAUCAACCACUCUGGGGCAUGUGUGGUCUCUCUCUGCUUCUUCAUCUCAUGGAAACAUGUUUCUAUGUGCAUGGCUACUCGUCCAGAAAUACCCCAUCGUGGAUCCCCACCAUCUGUGCCCUUUGCCAUCAGACCAGUGGCUGCCUCCUCCUGCCACCCCAGCCCAGCAGCACCAGCAGCACGGCAGGGACACAGCUUUGAGCCCAGGGACCACUGCAGGCAUUGCUGGACCAGCACAAGAGUUUCCCCAGGACCUGUGAAGUACUUGCUGCUGCGGUUUCUGUGGCUUGCUAUCAAAGUAUCUGCGAGGCAGCAAGCAGGAGGCAGUUGCCGAGGCAGAGAUGAAAGUUGGGAAAAGCAACUGAAAGGCAGCUACUCGGACCUUUCCACUGAUUCUCUUGGUCUCCUUCUUCCUUAA